UUUCCGUUGGUGAACCUGCGGAAGGAUCAUUAAAGAGAAUAGGCCGUUCGGGGUAGAUCUCCCACCCUUUGUUUAUAUUACCUUUGUUGCUUUGGCAGACCCGUCUUCGGACGACCGACUUCGUCAGGUCAGUGCUUGCCAGAGGACCCAAAUCUCUUAUUCUUAAUGUCGUCUCAGUACUAUAUAAUAGUUAAAACUUUCAACAACGGAUCUCUUGGUUCUG
rnacentral:misc_RNA from 1 species